AUUCCAGCUCCACUAGCGUAUAUUAAAGUUGUUGCGGUUAAAAAGCUCGUAGUUGAACUUCUGGCGGAUGGUUUCGCUGGCUUCGGUCGCGUUAAUGUCUGUCAUCCGCUAGGGAACCUCGUUCGGUCUUCAUUGGUCGGCGGGAGGAUCUGGCAUUUUACUUUGAAAAAAUUAGAGUGUUCAAGGCAGGCAAUCGCCAUGAAUACACAGGCAUGGAAUAAUGGAAUAGGACUUAUGGUCAUUUUAUUGGUUAUUGACUGUAAGUAAUGAUUAAUAGGGACAGUUGGGGGCAUUAGUAUUUAAUUGUCAGAGGUGAAAUUCUUGGAUUUAUUAAAGACGGACUACUGCGAAAGCAUCUGCCAUGGAUGUUUUCAUUG
rnacentral:rRNA from 1 species